GAACGCUGGCGGCGUGCCUAAUACAUGCAAGUAGAACGCAGAGGUCAGGUGCUUGCACUGGACUGAUGAGUUGCGAACGGGUGAGUAACGCGUAGGUAACCUACCUGAUAGCGGGGGAUAACUAUUGGAAACGAUAGCUAAUACCGCAUAAAAGCCAAUGACCCAUGUCAUUGGCUUGAAAGAAGCAAACGCUUCACUAUGAGAUGGACCUGCGUUGUAUUAGCUAGUUGGUAGGGUAAAGGCCUACCAAGGCGACGAUACAUAGCCGACCUGAGAGGGUGAACGGCCACACUGGGACUGAGACACGGCC
rnacentral:rRNA from 1 species